AUGGUCUCAGAGAUGGGGUCAGCUGUUCUCCAGCUCUGCUUACUGUGUCUCUGGAUUCUAGGCACCCCUGGUGAUGUUUUGCUGACCCAGUUUCCAUCUUUGUUGCCUUUGUCUAGGGAAGAGGACCAGCAACUCCUGCAGAAUCAUCAAGGAGUUCACCAACCUGAAGUCCAAGCAAGGGGGAGUAAGAUUGAGUCACAGACCCAGAUCCUUAUGCCAGUGCUCCUCUGGUUGUCUGGUGCCUGUGCAGAUAUGGUGCUGACCCAGUCUCCAUCUUCCAUGGCUGUGAGAGCAGGAGAGAAGGUCAUCAUCAGCUGCAAGUCCAGUCAGAGUCUUUUUGACAGUAAAAACCAGAAGAACUACUUGACCUGGUACCAGCAGAAGCCAGGGCAGGCUCCUAAAAUGUUAAUCGACUAUGCAUCUACUCAGUACACUGGGGUCCCUGAUCGCUUCGUAGGCAGUGGAUCUGAGACAGAUUUCACUCUCACCAUCAACAGUGUUCACACUGAAGAUCUGGCCGAUUACUACUGUAUGCAAUUUUCUGAAUUUCCUCCCACAGUGCUUCAGCCUCCAACAAAAACUUCUGAGAGUCUCAGAAGCUGCCUGCACCACAGGCUGCCCUGCACCCUCACACUUCUCUCUUCUGCCUGGAAGACAGUGUGCCUGAAACUCUGA